GACCCGUUUUAAUUUUGGGGGACCGCAGAUCAGGCAGGGAUACCCGCUGAAACUUAAGCAAUA
rnacentral:rRNA from 1 species